CAGGGGGAAGCUGCUCUUCUCAUGGUGGGCCCUGCAAGUGUAAGCAUGAAAAGAACUUCAUUUGGAAAGUGUGCCUUUAAUGAUCAAAGGAGGAAAACACUGAAUCCACUUGGAGAUGAGAGAAACUCACUCUGAAAAAUAACAGGCACCUUUGAAACGGCCCUGAAACGUGUGCGUGUGUCUCUCCGACGGCCAAGAACGCCCAGAGGACAGCCGGCUGCUUCCCCGGGCCAGUGAAGGGGCUCUGGGAACAGCUCUGUCGGUAGGAGUGAGGAGAGCAGCUUCAGGAGGCCAACCCCGUGUGCCUGCAGAGGGUCGAGGAAGGAGCGAAACCCCUCUGGGAACUCGCCUGGCAGGUGCCGUCAGUCCCGGCUGCUGGGGACAGUCUGCAGUAGCUUCUGUCCCACCUGCCGGGUGACCACAGGGAAACCAGAAAUCCAGUUUGGACCAGACUCUGAGAGUGCUUUCCUGGGUCUUCAGGACACCUCCAGUCCAGGAUGGAGGCCCGCUGGAAGGGCGGUGAGGGAAAGUGAGGACUGAGUAGGAGGUGCAGAGGGACCGGCAGGUGCCAAGCCCAGGAAGGGUGAGCAGCUCUGAGGGCCCUGAGGGUCUGGAGGGAGGACAGGCGGCAGGCAAGCUGGAGAUGGGAGCCGGGCCCUGGCGUAGGACAGGUAGGACAGGGGACCCGUGCAGGACACCCGAGGCUCCCUCCCCCCAAGGUGGCCUUUCCCUGCGAGUCACGGCUCCUGACACCAGGCUCCAGCCUGUUUCCUUUGGGGCCAUCUCCACUCCCUUCCCCUCCCCACAGAGUCCCAAGUCUUCCCUCUCCUUCCUGGCCACAGCCACCCCUGUCCUCGGUCCGUGCCUCGGGAUGCGCCAGGUAGCAGACACUCUGGGGGCUCUGGCCCAGCUGUGAUGCUGGAGUCCACCCUGAACUGCCCACUCCUGUACCCAUGUCUGAUCUGUGACUUCGCCCCUGGUCAAAGGUGCCCAUGGACCCAAACCGUGCCCCUGGGUUUCUUUCUUGGGUAUUUGGAAUGGGCCUUGUGAACUGCCAUUGGGUAAGGCUGCUGUCUGGGACAAGGUGCUGAGGAAAGCCACUUUCGGCCAGGUGAUCCAGGAAGCCGGGAGCAGUGCUGCCACCAGGCAGGAGAGAGAGAGAUGGGGGGGCCCUCCUGGAAGUGUGGGCCCUGCCAGCCCUGCUGCUCACCCUCCUGCAGGGCCAGCACACCCCUGCCCGAGGCACCGCACGGCCCACCCACUCCCCGAGAGCAAUGCCUUUCUGACCCAUCCUUCUUCCCCCUCUUUCCUUACCUUCCUGCCCAUUGCCCACCAUCAACUGGGCACACUCUGGUUAGGAUGUGUACCUGAAACCAGGUGCCUGGACAGAGGCAGGGAGGGGUCCUCCGGGGGCACAGGGGAAUAAGCUGGUCGUGAGGAUCUCGAGGCACAUGCUGCUGUAUUUACCAGAUUCAGGUCAAGGCAGGGUCCCGGGCUCCAGGGCCCAGACAGAACCCUGGGACAGAAGGUCCUCCAUGCAUGGUGCCUCACUCGGGGCCUGAAGUUGUAGGGUUUGUUCCCCAGCAGCCUGCAGCCUGGGGAGGUAUUUUUUCAGCCUAAGAAUAUGCUCCUCAGUGUUAGUGAUCCCUUAAGGCAGCCACCAUGCCACCUGGGGGGCUAUGAUUAGAAUCCUCACUCUUCUUCUCAUUACUGUGAUUAACAGUGACGGUGAACACAACUUCUGCUGAGAGCCCGCCUCGCAGGGCCUGGCUGGGGGAGCCCCAGAGACCCCUUUCAGGACCACAGGAGCUCAGCCCCCCAUCCCCACAGUCAGGGGUCUCCAGGGGCACAGGAUGCUUCCUUCAUCCAGGCCCCAUGGAGCUGAAGAGGGGCUGGCCCCAGGGUCUAGAGGGGUCAGCUGCAGCACUGGGGCAGAGCCAGGCCUGAGUCCCUGCUGGGCUCCCAGGGCUUUGUCGUGCUGCCUGUCCUUACAGGGCUGAUUGUGCUGAACCAGAGACCAGUGGAAGAGGGACAGACUGUGGCACAUGUGAGAGCUCUUGUUGCCAAAUGUGCAUCCUCACCAGCCUCUCCUGCCUGGGCCCAGUCGGGGUCUCGCUGAGGGUGGCCAUGUUGGCCAGGAGUGCUGGUGCAGCUUGUGGGCAGGGGACAGCUGUGACCACAAAGAGGCUGCGAGGUCAGAGCGUGACUGGAAACAUUUGGAGGAGGGAGGCUCCUUCCAAGGGGACCACUGGCUGUUCCUCACAGCCACAGGAUCCCGCAGGGAGGGUCUGGAGCUGGCCAUUCUAGUCUCUUUCCCCAGCAGGCACCCACCCCUGAGCUCCCUGACCCCUGGGCACAUCCUUGACACAAGAGAGCUGUGGGUGUUUGUUUUUGUCAAACACCGGCAGGCCUUGGGUAACAGUGGGUGCUCACUGACUCAGCUUUGGAUGGGCAGACCCAUCAAACUAGAGCAAAGCAAAGAGAAUUUGGGGGUGAGCCCCUCCGGCUGGCCUCGCCCUCUGUCGUUUAGAUCCUGCUUCCGCUCACACGGAUCUUUUUUCAGCCAGCAACAUGGUGCCCCUCCCUCCCAGUGACCAUCAGGCCUUAGGGCCCCCGCGGUGAGGCCCUAUCCUCGGCGGAGGGGGAAUCCUGCUGCCCUGGUGCUGGGCCAGCGCUCUCUCAGCUCCUGUCCACGCCAGGGCUCGCCCUAGGACUCGGGUCCCUGCCAGCCUGCUGCUCCUUGGGAACGCAGGGGGCGCUUGGCAGGAACGCUUCUCCUGCUCCCCAAGGCCCUGGGGCAGACGACCCGCACUG